rnacentral:sRNA from 1 species
CCAACUGAUACCGGAACAAUAUAUCGGAAACCUUACCUUGCAUCACAAGCCCCUUCUCCGCACCGGUGGUAUGUAGAAGUACGUGCGCAAGCCUUGAGCUACCCAUAUACCCUCCGAACUUUAAAUCGAGACCCAACGCCGUCCCAACGCGCUUUAGGCGCGUCUGCGCCGCCUCGGUCAUUUUGGGCCCCAUUUUCCGGAGCCAUCCGGUCUGGAUAUUGUAUUGUGUUGUGACUAAUGAGGUAAUUUUUCGUGCGCGGGGUGGGGGUUAUUUGAGUGCAUUGUUUGUAAAUGAAAGAUAAGGGAGGACGGGGCGGCGGAAGCUAGCGGAUGUCUUACCGUGGAUAAUUAUGCUCUCGCUGGGGGGUUCUUAGUCUAUGAAGUAAGGCUUCCAUGACAGUUGGAAUUCAUCCUUGGAGCCCCCUGGGUAUGUCUCUUUUGGUAGAGGGAAAUGGCCUUUUGGAGGUCGCGGUAGCCGAUGAAGCACUAUUUUCUUUGCAUAUGAGUAAAUAACUGAAAAGUUCGGUCCAGUGUGUUUUUUUUUUGUGGAAGGGGGACAGACAGCGUGCUCACCCAGGGACAUAUCGCGUCUGAAAUGAUAUCGAUUUUAAUCACUGCCAUUGCUUGGUUAUGCGAGGAGAAGACGAGUUAUUUCCCGUGCUUCUCAGGGCUUUCUGGUAGUCUCUAUGCUCUGUUCUUUGCGUCCUCCCCUCUGCUACAAUACUUCCUAGCUCAUGGAGACAGAAAGAAGCCUGAAUUGGGCUUAACGGCUUUAUUAAACAGGAGACAAUUUGAUGGAUGUGGAAGGGCGCCAACACCAUUCUUGUAUUUAUUUAUUUAUUGG